CUUGCUUUCUUUGCUGGCGACCGGCGCACGGGUGAGUAACACGUAUCCAACCUGCCCUUUACUCGGGGAUAGCCUUUCGAAAGAAAGAUUAAUACCCGAUAGCAUAAUGAUUCCGCAUGGUUUCAUUAUUAAAGGAUUCCGGUAAAGGAUGGGGAUGCGUUCCAUUAGGUUGUUGGUGGGGUAACGGCCCACCAAGCCUUCGAUGGAUAGGGGUUCUGAGAGGAAGGUCCCCCACAUUGGACUGAGACACGGCCAA
rnacentral:rRNA from 1 species